CCCUUAGAUGUCCUGGGCCGCACGCGCGCUACACUGAGUGUCUGAGAUACGAGUCUGCCUGGUCCGGCAAGGUCUAUGUAAUCGCUAAAAGACACAUCAUGCUUGGGAUAGAUUAUUGCAAAUAUUAAUCUUGAACGAGGAAUUCCUAGUAAGCGCAAGUCAACAGCUUGCGUUGAUUACGUCCCUGCCCUUUGUACACACCGCCCGUCGCUACUACUGAUUGGAUGUUUAAGCGAGGUUCUCGAACUGCUAGCGACUUAGCUUCGGUGAGGUCGCAGUGUGGGAAGUGAACCUAGCUUUGGUGUCUAGAGGAAGUAAAAGUCGUAACA
rnacentral:rRNA from 1 species